GGAAUACACAUUACCUAUUCCUUACUAUUUUUAUAUAUAUAUAUAUGUCUUAUCUUAUUUAUCUUAUUCUAGUGUUUAUUGUCUUCUCUAUGUUGAAUGUUGCAGCGUCACACCGAGACAAAUUCCUAGCUUGUGUAAUACUGUGUACUACAUGAACAAUGGCAAUAAAUAAAUCUGAUUCUGAUUCUGAUUCUGAUUCUGAAAUGUUUAAAAGGGCUGUAAGUCAAAAACCUGGUCUUAAUAUUGAAUUUAAUUAAAUCAAGAAUUUCUGAAACCAUGAAUACCUUUUAAGUAAAUAUCAUGAAAUAAACAGCAUUAUGUCAAUGUGUUUUUCAAGUAGGGGCAAGGGCAAUAAAAGUUCAUUAUAUGUUGGAUGUUGCAUGACAUUUGUUACCAUUUGCAUUUUGUAGACAACUGAUCUUCAUUUUGUCUCAAUUUUUAAUUGUUUUUAUCCGCAGGUGGUCUGUGGCAAAGACAAAACGACAACAGUGUUUCUUUGAUGCCAUUAGUUUGUACUGAAAAGGUAUAAAAAUGUCAACAUAUUAAAAUUUAAAAUAAUUUGACCUGUUGGGCCCAGUCUGGUGAAAGUAAACUUACUAACCUUUAAUGUUUCUGUGCUUUAAUGUUCCCACAUUAAUCACCGUUUAAUGUUCAGUAUACUGUAUCAGAAGAGUAAAUCAGUGGACCACUACGAGUUAUUUCACCAGUUAGCAGAAAUGAUGACGGUCACAUAAUAAGUUACUGUAUCUGCUGCAGUAAUUCUACUAUGUUUUUCCUUCUUCCCUCCCAACAGCUCCAACAAGAGAAGCAACAUUUGAGGGUACAGCACUCUUCUCAUCUAAUUUCGGGUGAUAAAUUAAAAAAUGUGCAAGGACAUCCUGUCCCGCGUGCUAGAUUGAAGCAUGCAGCACUCUGCAUCACCCGUUUGAUCAAAGAGAAACAACACCUGAUAGAGAUGUGCAACCGCCUCCGUGGUAUGAAGUCAUCUUCUGGAUUUAAAGAGUUGGAUUUGUCCACAGAACUACGAGAACAACACGGCAGUCUCAAAAAUCUGGAGCAGCAUCAGUCCCAGAUCACUUCAAAGGUCUCCAGAAACCCAUUAACUCAGUCUGACUUCAGGCAGACACAGAGUUCUGUUUAUGUGGAUCAAAAUCUGUACCAAUCAAUAGAGUCAUUGCAAUCACUGUGGGACUUGCUGGACUGUGGACUCAGUUCAUCUACUUUAUCAGAAGGUGAGCUGAAGAGAACGGAUACAACUGAGUCUGGUGCUGCUGCUGACCAGAUGAUGGUGCGUGGAAUCUCUGCUCCUGUCCACUGUCAGCCUCCAGACAAGCUCCAACAGAGGAGGAAUCUUUUUACAACAACAAAAAAGACCACCAGGACACUCAAACCCACAUGCAAGAUUAGAAAUUAUAAUAUUAAAGACUGACACAGUUUAGUAUCUAAUAUUACAUUCAUGCAACUACUGUUACAUACAGGACAGUUUGUACAGUGAAAUAAACGUAAUGCAUUUAUUUUAUGAGUAUUGCUGCGAACAUAAAGUUAUAUUUGAUAGGUGCAAAUAUUUGCUGUGUCUUCAUGCACAUUGAUCAGGAUGGCAGUGAU
ensembl:lncRNA